AACUUGGUAUAGUUGGUAAAGGCAGCACUUCUACUGCUAAGGUUGCUGGUUCAAAUCCCGCCCAAGUUG
rnacentral:tRNA from 1 species